rnacentral:rRNA from 1 species
GAUGAACGCUGACAGAAUGCUUAACACAUGCAAGUCCACUUGAACUUCGGUUUGGGUGGCGGACGGGUGAGUAACGCGUAAAGAACUUGCCUCACAGUUAGGGACAACAUUUGGAAACGAAUGCUAAUACCUGAUAUUAUGAUUUUAGGGCAUCCUAGAAUUAUGAAAGCUAUAUGCGCUGUGAGAGAGCUUUGCGUCCCAUUAGCUAGUUGGGGAGGUAACGGCUCACCAAGGCGAUGAUGGGUAGCCGGCCCGAGAGGGUGAACGGCCACAAGGGGACUGAGACACGGCCCUUACUCCUACGGGAGGCAGCAGUGGGGAAUAUUGGACAAUGGACCAAGAGUCUGAUCCAGCAAUUCUGUGUGCACGAUGAAGUUUUUCGGAAUGUAAAGUGCUUUCAGUUGGGAAGAAAAAAAUGACGAUACCAACAGAAGAAGUGACGGCUAAAUACGUG